CUUGGUCAUUUAGAGGAAGUAAAAGUCGUAACAAGGUUUCCGUAGGUGAACCUGCGGAAGGAUCAUUAUCGAAAUUAUUGGUGAGGGUUGUAGCUGGCCUUUCGAGGCAUGUGCACGCUCGAGCCCUUAAUCCACUUUACACCUGUGCACUUAAUGUAGGUCGCCCUUAAAAAAGGUGACCUAUGUCUUAUCAUCAACCCAUCGUAUGUCUCAUAGAAUGUAAUCGAUAUCCUCGCCCUGAAAAAGCGUUGAUAAACUUAUACAACUUUCAACAACGGAUCUCUUGGCUCUCGCAUCGAUGAAGAACGCAGCGAAAUGCGAUAAGUAAUGUGAAUUGCAGAUUUUCAGUGAAUCAUCGAAUCUUUGAACGCACCUUGCGCUCCUUGGUAUUCCAAGGAGCAUGCCUGUUUGAGUGUCAUUAAAUUCUCAACUCCAAGGGUUUCACGACCUUUCGGAGAUUGGACUUGGAGGUGCUGGCCGCAUAUUGGUCGGCUCCUCUCAAAUGCAUCAGCGGAAUUCAACCUUUGGCUUCCGGAUGUCAGUGUGAUAAUCAUGUUGCGCUGUCGUUUGAUCCCUCAGAGUCCGCUUAUAAUGGUCUUCGGACAAAAUCAUCAUCAAAUUUGACCUCAAAUCAGGUAGGACUACCCGCUGAACUUAAGCAUAUCAAUAAGCGGAGA
rnacentral:rRNA from 1 species